rnacentral:rRNA from 1 species
AUUGAACGCUGGCGGCAGGCUUAACACAUGCAAGUCGAGCGAGCGGCGGACGGGUGAGUAAUGUCUGGGAAACUGCCUGAUGGAGGGGGAUAACUACUGGAAAAGGUAGCUAAUACCGCAUAACAUAAGAUGUGCCCAGAUGGGAUUAGCUAGUGGGUGGGGUAAUGGCUCCCCUAGGCGACGAUCCCUAGCUGGUCUGAGAGGCGGACCAGCCACACUGGCACUGAGACACGGUCCAGACUCCUACGGGAGGCAGCAGUGGGGAAUCUUGUGCAAUGGGCGCAAGCCUGAUUCAGCCAUGCCGCGUGUGUGAAGAAGGCCUUCGGGUUGUAAAGCACUUUCAGCGAGGAGGCGUUACUCGCAGAAGAAGCACCGGCUAACUCCGUGCCAGCAGCCGCGGUAAUAC